CGCCUGGAAUCUCUCCAACUGUCAUGGAACCUCCCCCCCAACCCCAGAUGCAGGCCAGACUGAAGCCCUGAGGCCUGCCUGUGGACAGCAGGAGAGACCAGAGAACACAGAAGAAGGGUCAGAGAGAUCCAAACCGCCAAGGGCCAAGCCUGAACCUGGGAGGGAGACCAACAGACUUCCAGGUGGCCAUGGAGGUGCCUGGAAAGAGGGGCUAAAAGCAGUUGGUGACUGUUUAGUGCAUCUGGGGACUGGUCUUACGCUGCAUCCCCACAUGUCCCAGAGGCCCCAGUCUGGACCCCAGAGCACCCAGCCAGGUUUCCUUCCAGGAGCUCCCAGUAAUACUCAAAAUGAGACCGAAGUCUCUCCACCAAUUACUUACAGGCCCCAGGUCAGAAUCCAAGACUCUCAGCCCAUUAUCAACAGUGGCCGGGUCAGCAUCCAAGAGCCCCCGCCCAUUAUCCAUAAUCGCCGGGUCAGCAUCCAAGAGCCCCCGCUCAUUAUCCAUAAUCGCCGGGCCAGCAUCCAAGGGCCCCCACCCAUUAUCAACAGUCACCGGGUCAGCAUCCAAGAACCCUUGUCCAUUAUCCACAAUCGCCGGGUCAGCAUCCAAGACCCUCCACUAGUCCACAGUCGCUGGGCCAGUAUCCAAGAUGCGCCACCCAUUAUCAACAGUUGCUGGGUCAGUACUGAGGACACGCCAUCCACUGUGAGCGGUCAUCGGCUCAGCAUCCAAGAUACACCGUCAGUUGCCUACAGUCACCGUUUGAAGACCCAAGAUGUUCCACCAAUUCUCCAAACUCGCCACUUCAGCAUCCAAAACUCUCUAUUACUUCCUCACGUCUCCCUGAACAAUGUAGAGUCCCUUAACUACAAUAGUAGUCAAGUCCGUAGCCAAGACCACCUUCCAACAAGUCAGAGUCCUUGUUUGAGUACUCAAUGCCUCACAUUGCCAAUCCGGGCCAAAGUCGAUGUCCCCCCUUCAAUUACUCACAGCCCCACGGCCAGCGUCAAAAGCACUGAUUCAAUCAUCUGGACCACCCAGGAGAGUUUCAAAGACUCUAUGGACAGCUCCCUAUACAACCCAAGUGCUCUAGACAACAAUAUCCAGAGCAUACAAUCAAGCAGAUCUGCUGAGAUGGAUUCUGGCGGGUGUCAGAGAAGGAGUAAAUGCAGCUAUUCACAGCUGCCCAUGGGCUGGCGGCUGCUGCAUGGAGCCAAGAAGAUCAGCCGUCAGGUGAGCCUGGCACUGAGCCUGGCUGGCAUGGUGAUCAUCGGUCUCAUCACCCUGGGCCAGCCCUGGAUCCACUUCCAGGUUCCAUUGACACCCCCUGGGGAUCCUGAUGGCCCCUUGACCAUCCCCAUCAACACCAUCUUCUUUGUGCAGUGCCCUGACAUCUCCUGCCUUCAUGAGUACGACCAGAAUGCUUAUUUGUUGGACUUUGCCUGGGCCUUUCUCAUCCUCACCAGUAUUGCCGGCUUCUGCCUCUGCAUCAUGCUCAUAAACAUCAUCUUCUUCACCAGCUCCAACUUACCUGUGCUGGACUUCUCCAACGUCAUCAUCAGCAUCCUGACAGGGGCCAGCAUGAUACUGGGCAUCCUGUUCUACCUGAUGCAGGCCCAUGAGUACCUGCAGGAAGGCAUGACCUACACUCUGGGGCUCAGCUUCUACCUGGCGUGGACCGGCAUCUUUCUCUUCCUGAUGAGUGGUUUCCUUUCCUAUCUGAACUGCAUGAACUUCUGGCCCAUCCUGGUGCUCCAGGCCAUCUGGACUUGAUGGCGCUCCAGGACGCAGGAAUGACCCCACCGCUGGCCUGCUCCCACAGCUCCCUGCCAAGCACUUGACAACCCUACUCUCUAGUCCCCCACCCCCACUGAGAGUCUUGCCCUUUUCGGUCCCCUCUUAAUCCCCCCACUCAGAUUAAUAAUUUAAAUAAUCUGUACCUUUUGCCCAGAAUAUUCUCGUAGCUCAGUACCUUCUAAGUGUUCUGUGGAAAUGCCAACUCUCACGGGGGCCAUCCCUUGGGCCCUCUGGGGUAGAGGGACAGGUGAGGGAAGCGAUUCAGAGGAAAGAGAGGCAAGGCACAAGGUCAACAAAGAGGCUGUGCCAAUGGUUCCUGGCAUACAUACAAAUGGUGUCAAUCAAUAUUUGUUGAAUAGCUGAUUCUCUCCAAGCCCUUAGGGCUUCAUCUUUUACUUCCCAGACCCCCAAUAAUGUGCCCCUCCUGAGGUAAAUUCUCCCUGCACCCACACCUCACCUCCUGCCCUUACCAGCAGCCCCUGUCAUCACUUCCUCUUUCUUCUCGCCAAACUCCUCCAACACAGGGCUGUUCUUUUUAAAAAUUGUCUAUCUAUCUAUCCAUCCAUCCAUCCAUCCAUCCAUCCAUCCAUCCAUUUUUAAGGCUGUUCCAUGUAGCAUAUUUUUGCUAUCAGAGUCAUUUGUUGAACAGGGCACGGUUGAAACUCAAGUACAAAUUUAUCUCACUACCUGGGUCCCCCUACAGGCCCUUGACCUGGGGGGGUCCCCUCUACCUCCCUUUCACACAGUGGUUAAGCUGGAAGGAUUGAGUCUAGGCUCUGCCACCUACUAGCUCCGUGACCUGUGUCCAGGCAUUGACCCGUCUGGGUCUCAGUUUCCUCAUCUGUAAAAUGGGGGUAAUGAUAGUACUUCAAUCUAGAUAGAGCUUAACAUAACACCUAGUCUGUGCUCUUUAAGGGUUGCUAAAAUAAUCCGCUUCUCUCCCACAAAAGGCUCUCAAAUUUGUUCAUCUUUAAUGAAAAUAAGCUGCAACUAUAUGCCAGAGACUGGAUCUAUAGCAGUGAUCAAACUAGACACACAUCCUUGUUUUUAUGGCUUCACAUUUCCGCAGGGAGGCAAAACAGAUAUGUUAGGGACUAUAAGCUUCGUGGGAGGUGUCUCCUCACCGGAAGAAGACAACCCAAAUGACCAGCUAAACAAUGUGUGUUCCACUCACAGAAGGGAAUAUUUGGCCCCCGUUUAAGGAAUGAGGUCACUCUGUACUGAUCCGGGGGAGACUAUUUAGGGGACAAACUGGAAUGAAAAAAAAAAAUCGCUACCCAUAACAUGUGUGCGUAUACAGCCAUAAAAUAAAAAGUCCACACCACACUGUUGACAGUGGCGACUCUGGUGAGUGGGUUUGAAGUAGAGGAGUUUCCUUUUUUAUCUCUGAAAAGAAUGUUUCCAAUCAAGUCAGCUGAAAGACACUCCUUAGAGCUUGAACCCUCCCUACCAAGAAUCCAAGCCCCCAGGUCUUAAACCAUCUAAACUGGGGGGUGGAGGGAGCACUUCCGGCCCUCACACAGCCCAGGAGUCCUGGCCCCCAUCCUCCUCCUCCCUUAGAUCCAGAAGCCCAGCCUUUCGCCCGGGCGUCCAGGCACCGACCCCUCCUCUUGCUGCGCGGAACGAGCCUCUCAUUCUGCGCCACGCUAGCGCUACCCCAGAACGCCCCCGGUCGAUCUCGGCACUGGCCCCGCCUCCCAUUCCUGCCUGCGGACUCAGUCUGGGUCGGCCCCGCCCCUUCCAGCCAAAGCUCGCGCCACUGCCGCGCUGGCAAUUCCAGGGGCCUCCCUUUCUGGCUCUGUCCCGGCUCGGGGUCCUUCCCCUUUGCCGCCCGCCUUUGGUGCUGUCCUCAGAGUUGCCUGACGCUCAUGAGAGGACAACGGGCCCUGAUAUUCCCCUGCUUUUUUUUUCUCCG